rnacentral:rRNA from 1 species
CCUACGGGAGGCAGCAGUGAGGAAUAUUGGUCAAUGGACGAGAGUCUGAACCAGCCAAGUAGCGUGAAGGAUGACUGCCCUAUGGGUUGUAAACUUCUUUUAUAUGGGAAUAAAAUGUUCCACGUGUGGGAUUUUGUAUGUACCAUAUGAAUAAGGAUCGGCUAACUCCAUGCCAGCCGCCGCGGUAAUACGGAGGAUCCGAUCGUUAUCCGGAUUUAUUGGGUGUAAAGGGAGCGUAGGUGGAUUGUUAAGUCAGUUGUGAAAGUUUGCGGCUCAACCGUAAAAUUGCAGUUGAAACUGGCAGUCUUGAGUACAGUAGAGGUGGGCGGAAUUCGUGGUGUAGCGGUGAAAUGCUUAGAUAUCACGAAGAACUCCGAUUGCGAAGGCAGCUCACUGGACUGCAACUGACACUGAGGCUCGAAAGUGUGGGUAUCAAACAGGAUUAGAUACCCUUGUAGUC